rnacentral:lncRNA from 1 species
GGAUUGGGAUAUUCCGACUCCUUAAGGGCCUGGCGCACAUAAGGUGUGACCUUUUCAUUCCCGUUGUUAUGGAGGGCCACAUCUGCCAGAGCCUGGAGUCUGCGAAGGCCGGGACCCGGUUCCCCGGCCCACAGUGGGGGUGUGCAAACCCGAGAGAACUGGAUUGCGUACCCACUGCAGAGUGCUGAAGACGGGGUAGCCACGAGGUUGCAAAUUCGUGAAGAAUCAGCAUCAUGUUUGGCAGCUGAGUAUUGGAGCCAGGAGCCUGCCAUGAGGUUUUGAGAACAGAGUGCUGUUUUAGAGCUGGCAGCAGCAUCUCAGCCCAAGAGAAGGUUAUAUUCCCAGAGGAUGUCAGUCCCAAGGACCAGUAGCUGCCAUCAGUUUGGAUUCUGAAAACUAACUGGCAUCAACACUGGGUGUAGAAACAUGCUUGCCUUAUGUAUCAGAGGACAUGCUCAGCAGAUCCAAGAGAUAUAUUUGGCAACUUUUUCUAGAAAAGGCACAUUGGGUAUCAUUCAUUACAUUCUUGAGUUUUUUUGGGUUUUUUUUUUUUUUUUUGAGACAGUCUUGCUGUAUUGCCCAGGCUGGAGUGUGGUGGCACAAUCACAGCUCAUUGCAUCCUCAAUCACCCAGGCCUAAGCAAUCCUCCCACCUUGUAGCUGGGACUACAGCUCACAGCACACCUGGCUAAAAUUUUUUUUUUGUUGAGACGGAUUCUCUAUGUUGCCCAGGCUGGUCUCAGGCUCCUGGGCUCAGAUGGUCCUCCUGCCUCAGCUUCCAAAGGCACAGGCCAAGUUGUAGCUUUGUCCCUUGCCAUCAUGCCCAACAAGAGGUUCUAUACCUUUUAAUGAAUUGACUUUCAUAAAUUGGUUAUGUUGGUGGGCAAAGUUCUUUAAGCUGGAAAUUGUAAAUUCCUCCUGAAAUGUUUUUUCAUGCAGUUACCAUGAACUAAUACUACAAUAAAGGAUGGUCUUGGGUGUCAAUUCUUGAAAAUGUG